rnacentral:rRNA from 1 species
UACGUAGGGUGCAAGCGUUGUCCGGAAUUAUUGGGCGUAAAGAGCUCGUAGGCGGUUCGUCGCGUCGGCUGUGAAAUCCCGGAGCUCAACUCCGGGUCUGCAGUCGAUACGGGCGGACUCGAGUUCGGCAGGGGAGACUGGAAUUCCUGGUGUAGCGGUGAAAUGCGCAGAUAUCAGGAGGAACACCGGUGGCGAAGGCGGGUCUCUGGGCCGAUACUGACACUGAGAGACGAAAGCUAGGGGAGCGAAUGGG